AACGAACGCUGGCGGCAGGCCUAACACAUGCAAGUCGAGCGAGGACUUCGGUUCUAGCGGCGGACGGGUGAGUAACGCGUGGGAAUGUGCCCUUCUCUACGGAAUAGCCCUGGGAAACUGGGAGUAAUACCGUAUACGCCCUAUUGGGGAAAGAUUUAUCGGAGAAGGAUCAGCCCGCGUUGGGUUAGGUAGUUGGUGGGGUAAUGGCCUACCAAGCCGACGAUCCAUAGCUGGUUUGAGAGGAUGAUCAGCCACACUGGGACUGAGACACGGCCCAGACUCCUACGGGAGGCAGCAGUGGGGAAUCUUAGACAAUGGGGGCAACCCUGAUCUAGCCAUGCCGCGUGAGUGAUGAAGGCCUUAGGGUUGUAAAGCUCUUUCAGCUGGGAAGAUAAUGACGGUACCAGCAGAAGAAGCCCCGGCUAACUCCGUG
rnacentral:rRNA from 1 species